rnacentral:rRNA from 1 species
AGAGCGUAGAGUGAAUGCCUUGGCAUUGGGAGCCGAAGAAGGACGUGGUUAACUGCGAAAAGCUACGGGGAGUCGUAAGCAGACAUUGAUCCGUAGAUGUCCGAAUGGAGCAAUCCGCAUGGAGUUAGUCCAUGCAUCCAUAAGUGAAUUCAUAGCUUAUGGAGGGGAACCGCCUGAACUGAAACAUCUAAGUAGGGCGAGGAAGAGAAAUCAAACGAGAUUUCGUAAGUAGUGGCGAGCGAACGCGAAAGAGGCUAAACCAAGAGAAGAAAUUCUUUUGGGGUUACGGACUGCGAUAUGUAUCUGAGGACUUAGCAGAAUGGUAUGGGAAAGCCAACCAGAGAAUGUGAUAGUCAUGUAUGCGAAAAGGAAUCAGAGCUAGCAGGAUCCAAAGUACCGCGGGACACGAGGAAUCCCGUGGGAAGUCGGGGGGACCACCCUCCAAGCCUAAAUACUACCCAAUGACCGAUAGCGAAAAGUACUGUGAAGGAACGGUGAAAAGAACCCCGGGAGGGGAGUGAAAAGAACCUGAAACUCUAUGCUUACAAGCACAUAGAGCACGUCAAAGUGUGAUAUGGUACCUUUUGUAGAAUGGUCCGGCGAGUUAUUGUAUGCAGCAAGGUUAAGGUCUUCAGGACUGAAGCCGAAGCGAGAGCGAGUCUGACAAGGGCGAUAAGUUGUAUGCAAUAGACCCGAAACCGGGUGACCUAGCCAUGUUCAGGUUGAAGUGGAGGUAAAGCUCCAUGGAGGACCGAACCGACCUCCGUUGAAAAGGCGGCGGAUGAAAUGUGGCUAGCGGAGAAAUUCCAAUCGAACCCGGAAAUAGCUGGUUCUCCCCGAAAUAGCUUUAGGGCUAGCGUUGUAUUAGAUUUCUGGGGGUAAAGCACUGAAUAGGCUAGGGGCCGAGAGGUUACUGAACCUUAUCAAACUAAGAAUACCAGAAAAUUGAUGUACAGCAGUCAGACUAUGUGAGAUAAGUCUCAUAGUCAAAAGGGAAACAGCCCAGACCCACAGCUAAGGUCCCAAAACAGAUUUAAGUGGAAAAGGAUGUGGGAUUGCCCAGACAACCAGGAUGUUGGCUUAGAAGCAGCCACACAUUAAAAGAGUGCGUAAUAGCUCACUGGUCGAGUGAUCCUGCGCCGAAAAUUCAACGGGGCUAAAAUUUGUACCGAAGCUUGGGCUUGAUACUUCGUAUCAGGGGUAGGGGAGCGUCAUGUAUGAGGUGAAGUCAUAGCGGAAGCGGUGGUGGAUUGUACAUGAGAGAGAAUGCCGGAAUGAGUAGCGAGAAUUAUGUGAGAAUCAUAAUGGCCGAAAAUCUAAGGUUUCCUGAGGAAGGUUCGUCCGCUCAGGGUAAGCCGGGAGCUAAGGUGAGGCGGAAACGCGUAGCCGAUGCACAUACGGUAGAGAUUCCGUAGCCUCCGAAAAGUAAAGCACAGGGACGCUUCAGAAGUGUUACGCCGGGCGAUGGUUGCCCCGGUUGUAAAGGACACAAUUGAGUGGAAGGUAACAUGGAUGGAGACAAGAAAAGCUGUGUGUAUCUGGAAGGAGCCCGUACCGCAAACCGACACAGGUAGAUAGGAAGAAGAUUCUAAGGCCAGCGGGAGAAGGGUUGUUAAGGAACUCGGCAAGUUGACCCCGUAACUUCGGGAGAAGGGGUGCUUACGAAGGUAAGCCGCAGAGAAUAGGCCCAAGCGACUGUUUAGCAAAAACACAGCUCUAUGCUAAAUCGAAAGAUGACGUAUAUGGGGUGACACCUGCCCGGUGCUGGAAGGUUAAGAGGAGAUGUGAGAGCAUUGAAUUGAAGCCCCAGUAAACGGCGGCCGUAACUAUAACGGUCCUAAGGUAGCGAAAUUCCUUGUCAGGUAAGUUCUGACCCGCACGAAAGGUGUAACGAUUUGGGCGCUGUCUCGGCAGCAGACUCGGUGAAAUCUUAGUACCUGUGAAAAUGCAGGUUACCCGCAACUAGACGGAAAGACCCCAUGGAGCUUUACUGCAGCCUGAUAUUGAAUUCUGGUCAUACAUGUACAGGAUAGGUGGGAGACAAAGAGACGUGCACGCCAGUGUACGAGGAGUCGACGUUGGGAUACCACUCUUGUGUGACCGGGGUUCUAACCUGGUAUCGAGAACAGGUACGGGGAGAGUGUCAGGUGGGCAGUUUGACUGGGGCGGUCGCCUCCCAAAGAGUAACGGAGGCGCCCAAAGGUACGCUCAGAUUGGAUGGAAACCAAUCGUCGAGUGCAAUUGCAGAAGCGUGCUUGACUGUGAGACAGACAAGUCGAACAGGGACGAAAGUCGGGAAUAGUGAUCCGGCGGUGCCGAAUGGAAGGGCCGUCGCUCAACGGAUAAAAGCUACCCUGGGGAUAACAGGCUGAUCUCGCCCAAGAGUUCACAUCGACGGCGAGGUUUGGCACCUCGAUGUCGGCUCAUCGCAUCCUGGAGCUGGAUUCGGUUCCAAGGGUUGGGCUGUCCGCCCAUUAAAGCGGUACGCGAGCUGGGUUCAGAACGUCGUGAGACAGUUCGGUCCCUAUCUGUUGUGGGCGAAGGAGAUCUGCGGAGAGCUGUCCUCAGUACGAGAGGACCGGGAUGGACCUACCGCUGGUGCACCGGUUGUUCCGCCAGGGGCAUAGCCGGGUAGCUAAGUAGGGAAAGGAUAAGCGCUGAAAGCAUCUAAGCACGAAGCCUACUCCAAGAUGAGAUCUCCCAUUCG